ACAACUUUCAACAACGGAUCUCUUGGCUCUCGCAUCGAUGAAGAACGCAGCGAAAUGCGAUAAGUAAUGUGAAUUGCAGAAUUCAGUGAAUCAUCGAAUCUUUGAACGCACCUCGCGCUCCUUGGUAUUCCAAGGAGCAUGCCUGUUUGAGUGUCAUUAAA
rnacentral:rRNA from 1 species